UACGUAGGGUGCAAGCGUCAAUCGGAAUUACUGGGCGUAAAGCGUGCGCAGGCGGUGAUGUAAGACAGAUGUGAAAUCCCCGGGCUCAACCUGGGAACUGCAUUUGUGACUGCAUCGCUGGAGUGCGGCAGAGGGGGAUGGAAUUCCGCGUGUAGCAGUGAAAUGCGUGGAUAUGCGGAGGAACACCGAUGGCGAAGGCAAUCCCCUGGGCCUGCACUGACGCUCAUGCACGAAAGCGUGGGGAGCAAACAGG
rnacentral:rRNA from 1 species